UACAGAGGUCCCAAGCGUUGUUCGGAUUCACUGGGCGUAAAGGGUGCGUAGGUGGUGAGGUAAGUCGGAUGUGAAAUCUCCGGGCUCAACCCGGAAACUGCAUUGGAAACUACCUUGCUUGAGGAUUUGAGGGGGGGUUGGAAUACUUGGUGUAGCAGUGAAAUGCGUAGAUAUCAAGUGGAACACCAGUGGCGAAGGCGAAUCCCUGGAAAAUACCUGACACUGAGGCACGAAAGCUAGGGGAGCAAACAGG
rnacentral:rRNA from 1 species